rnacentral:snRNA from 1 species
GGAUGUGAAGGUGAUCUGGCUGCAACAUCUGUCACUCCGUUGAUCGCCAGGGUUGAUUCGGCUGAUGUGGGCUGAUGUGGCUGGCUAGGCAGGUGUCCCCUUCCUCCCUCACUGCUCCAUGUGCGACCCUCUCGAAGCUGAGUGCCAUGUUGAAGAGGAUGACCUUCCCCGAUAGAGGAGGACCAUUCUUUGGUCAAGGGUAUACGAGUAGCUGCACUCCCUUUUUAGAACCUCCAAACAAGCUCUCAAGAAAUCACACUGGCUUCUAGGUUUGCAACAUAAGAAAAAGAUUAAGAGGAAGAAGGGAAGGAAGGGGGUGAAAGAACAACACUGAAAUCAG